AAAACAUUCAAGAGACUUGAAUAAAAAAAAAAAAAGAAACUUCCUCGUUUGGAGUAAACUGAAAGUGUGAUAUAUUUUCUUUAGCUGGCUGGUGUCUUAUUAGGGGGAUUUCACACUGAUGUUAAUUGUACCCGGCUCUGAUUAAGAAAAGGCAGAAUAAGAAUGUAAAAAAGACGAGAGAUGUCAGAACAUAAGAUUCCUCAACCGUUAGAUAAUAUCGGUUGUCAGGAUCUGCUACAAGAAGAUUACAGUCACUGUGGCUGGCUGAGGAAGCAGAGCUUUAUCAACAGAGUUGGCAAAUUCCGCUGUAAGUGUAAUAUCCACUUCAAUAGGUACUUGAUAAAAGUUACACUACAUCUGUGUUAUACAAGAGCAUGCCAUGUUAUGUACUAGUACUAGUACUAGUACCAUGUUAUGUACUAAGAGUUCUUGUCAUAGUAAGACUCAGUGCAGCGUUACAAAGCGAUUGGUACAAUAACAUUGCGUAAGCUUACGGUAUGUUAUUGGAGAGUUUCAGAGGCCCGUGGGCUUUAACGGUCACCUGAGUAAGGCAUAGCAAUUUGAUGUACAUUAUAUUCAAUACAGUUAAUGUUGCAGGGUUAGGGUUAAGAUAUCUUAACAGAACUCAGGAUAUCAGGAUAAAUUCAGGACUUUUUCUUUCUUUCUUUCUUUCUUUCUUUCUUUCUUUCUUUCUUUGGGGGUAUAACAAUCUUUAAGAUGUCUUAUGUAAAUGCACCCUAAGGCUAGCACAUAAAUAAAUAUGCAUACCGCCGUUUUUUAAGUUUAUUAUUGACAAUCAAGAAAAAGGAAUACCCAUGGAAUGGAGAUGGAGGGAGGGGGGUAGAUAAUAAACCUUAUACUAGUAAAAUGUCAACCUGUCUCGAGUUUCAUAUAGUUACGUAUAUCCUCUGGCACAAGUAAGGUAUUGUAAACACGUGUUUGUAGUUACGUGAACAUACACAGUUUGCUGCAGAAAAUAAAGGAAAAUUUAAGCAUUUUCAAGGAUGUUUAUUACUUCUUUCAUUUACUUAAUACGGGUACAAUUCAAAUUACUUCCUGUUCCACAUUGAUUCCACAAUGUUAUUAGAACUCUCAAUGAAAUGUUUAAAACAUAUUCAUUGCAUCCUAGAACAACAAUUAUACUAGCUACCACACUGUGCACAAUGACGUGCUUUUGCACGCUGUUAAACUAUACAGUGUAUAUAUCUUUUAUGAGUAAAAUUCUUAACAUAUCCAACCACAGCAAAAAAAGUCUAAUUUAGUGUGGCUCAAAUCUGAAAAAAAAAAUUAUUGUGUUUUCUUUUUCAAUAUUGUAUUUCGUUUACGCAGGGCCUCAGAUUUACAUGGUGCUAAGCGGAGGAUGUAUUUAUUACUUUAAAAAUGAAUACAGCACCCGUCCUGCCGGGAAAUUCACACUGUAUGGCUACAAUACGUAAGUACAGUAUCUAAAUCGUAAGUUGUCUGUAACUUAUUACAAGUGUAAUUCGUAAGUUAUUCACAUUUGAUGAACUAAUAUUCAUGAGUAUCUGGUAGAGGUAUUGAAUACAACUUUGAAGAUUUUUACUUGUAAUUUGUAACUAGUAUGCUUAAUAACCUAUUUGCCUCUUUGUUGCCUCUUUGGUUGAUAAAAAUCAUAUAAAUAUAUAUAUCAAUUUUAAAGUUACUUUGUUAUCGUAAACACUUAUUGUGUGUUCAGCGACUGCCCGCUAUAUACAUGUACAUAACCCUUUGAAAUUUCAUGUUAUUGUUUACAUGUGUAUUUACAUGUAAAACUCUGAAAUGAUUACAUGUUGACUAACAGUUUAUAAGUUAACAAAUCUAUCUAUAAAAUUAAAUUUCAACAAACAGCUUAUCACCAUAAAUAUUCCCAAUUUUAAACUGCCACCUUUUCUUCAGGGUCAGUAGAGCACAGGAAAAAGUUUCCCCCAAGGUGGCCCCCUUUGCCUUUAAGGUUGUCCAUGCCUCACCAGAUUAUAAAACCUACUUCUUUGCUGCUGGAUCUGAGAAAGAAAUGAAGGCAAGUCUCUCUCUCUCUCUCUCUCUCUCUCUCUCUCUCUCUCUCUAAAAAAGAAAGAAAAAAAAAAGAAAAAAAACAAAACAAAAAGAAACAAAACAAAAUCAAAACAAAAC
rnacentral:misc_RNA from 1 species